rnacentral:sRNA from 1 species
GCCAGGUGUGGUGGUGCAUGCUUGUAAUCCCAGCAAUUUGGGAGGCUGAGGCAGGAGGAUCACAAGUUUGAGACCAGCCUCAU